UGUACUCCUGAUGGUUAUAAAGGAUUUGAAGGCAAAUGUAGGAUAUCCGUUUAAUACUUUGCUGAACAUUCAAUAGUGAGAUUUGUGUUCUGGAAACUGCAGUAAGCACAUCAUGCAUUUAUGAAUUUGGUAGGAUUCCAAUGAUUAAUGGUUAUUCAUCUUAGACAGUUAAAAUUAAUUAGUUUAGUAAUCCAAACAGUUCUAGAACUGAUUCUUCUUUCUAGUGUAUUUUAGUAAACCACAUAUAUUGCUUGACUUGCACCUCUUUCCAGUCUCCUGUUCAGUAAAUAUUCUGAUGUAAAGUCAGCCAAGUCAAUCAGCCAAAAGUCAUUUUUUUUCAGAUAACAACAUUUAGGCCAAGAUGCAUCCUUAUCAAAUAAAGAAAAUGGAAUGGCAAGAUUUGAUGCUCUGAAAGCUAAUCUUUUCAGAACUACAAGAUAAAAAUAACAAAGCACGAGUGCUGGUAGUAGAUGGAUUUGUGCUCACCUCUCUAGUUUACAAGUAAGCCGAUCGGAACUCCAAAAUUCAACAUAGAAUUACCAAGAAAUCCCUAUAUACAAAAGAUUAAAUAGAUUAGCACAAGAAUUAUCUCACCUAUGAUAAGGAAAAUUUAAGGGUUUGCAGUUUUCCCUUCAGAAAAAAAUCAAAUGUUUGUUUUCCAUCAAAGUUUGUUGAUAUUAGACAUGCAGAUCAACAAUCAUAACUGAAAUAUUUAGUAGAAUGGUGUUUUUUUUUUUUAUUCAUUUGAUGAGGAGCAGAAAGGUGUUAUUAAAAAUCAAACAGUCUCAUUCUUUUUGGGCAAAAUUUCUCUGAUUUCCUACUCACAUCUGGAGUUAAAAUGGAUAACCUAGUGAUGAGUCAUUUUCUUUCAGUUUACAUGAGAAAUGUGCACCAUUUCUACAGUCCAGACAUAAUUAUGCUUUGUCAAUGCUUGCACUUUACUUUACCUAAUGUAUUGGCUUCAAGAGCACUUAGAGCCCGUUUGGAUUGACUUAAAAAAAGUAACUUUUUAAAGUGCUGGACUUAUUUUUAAAAUAAGUAGUUAUGUGUUUGGAUAAAAGUGCUGCAGUUGAAAAAAAAAGUUGUUGAUGUGUUUGGCAAAUAAGUGCUGGUAAACACUUUUUUUAUCAAAAUGUCUGAAAUACCCUUUAAGCUGUUAACAUGAUAAAAAGUUGAUUAAUUUAAGGUUUUUAUACUUUAAAAAAAAAUUAAAACAAAAUUAAUUUAUGUUUUACAUCCAUAAGUAAUAAUAUUUUUCUAUCAUUCACAUAUUUCUUUACCACCUUAUAAGAGGAAUAUAAAUUCAUAUUUCAGAAAUAAUAAUAAUAAUAAAAAAAAAUAAUAAUAAUAGUAAUAGUAAUAAUAAUAAACUAAUAAAAUAAUAAUAAUAAUAAUAAUAAUAAAAUAAUAAAAUAAUAAAAUAAUAAUAAUAAUAAUAAUAAUAAUAAUAAUAAUAAUAAUAAUAAUAAUAAUAAUAAUAAUAAUAAUAAUAAUAAUAGUAAUAGUAAUAAUAAUAAUAAUAAUAAAAUAAUAAAAUAAUAAUAGUAAUAGUAAUAGUAAUAAUAAUAAUAAUAUUUAUAAUAAUAAUAAUAAUAAACAUAAUAAUAAAAUAAUAAUAAUAAUAAUAAUAAUAAUUCAAUAUGGCCAAUUUGAAAAUUGUAUAAAAGAAUUAAGGGCAAAAAGGUAAUAUACUUGGUCGACAUAAAAGAGCUUUUAAGUUUUAAAAAAAAAAGCUCCCCUCCCCUGGCUUUUAGCUUUUGGCUUAAAAUAAGUCAUUUUUGACUUAAAAUAAGUCACUUUGAUAAUUGCCAAACACUCUAAUAAGUCAAAAACUGACUUUUAAGCCAGUUUGACCAGCUUAAAAGCCCAUCCAAACAGGCUCUUAGUUGUUUCCCUUAAGUUAGGUGUUUUGAUCAUAAGUCAUCUAAGACACUCAGCCAAAUGUCUUCAUAAAAAAAUACUUACAGGCAAAAUGCUUUCUAUCCACGCUCAUGGACCACCAAAUGACACGAGUCACCUAAAGCUGAAUAAGGUAAUUCUAGAUGUAUAAGCUAAAAAUUAAUACAUCAUGAAUACCUGCAACAGUACAGAGUUGGGCUUGCAUGUUCAGUUUACUGAUAAAAUCUGAAACUCCAAAGUUCAGAGUCAAGCUAUCCAGGGAUCCCUGAAUAUAAAAUGGUAAAUGGUAAGUUCAAGUAUCUCAACUGUCAUAAGCCAUCAUUUCAGAUAUGCUUUCAAUUUUUGCCAUCUGUUUCCAAUUUGAUUAAGCAGGCAAAACUUAAAAGUUAAGUUAGUAAUCGGUUUUCAUUUAUAUCAAAGAUUCAUCAAGUUUGGAUUAUAACAUCAAUUAGGGAUCAAGGGUGUUUUGCCUUGAUCACUGACGAUCAAUGGCUAAGAGGUCUUUCACAAAAUUGAGGUAAAAGUUCUCUGGAAUUUCACGUUAAAAUGAGGAGUUACAUGGGUAUCCAUAGUUCAGAUACCCAUUUUCAUUUCAAUUUAGUGAACUAAAGAUGCAUAAACAUCAUUGUACCAUGCAGUGUUAUCAAAGACGAAAAGCGCAAAAAACUCUAAGGUCCGUGGGGCUUUAAGCGCAAAUAAAGCUUGGGCUUUAAUGAAAAAUGGCGCAAAGGGAGAAAAAAAAUUACAAAUAUAUAUGUUUGGUCCAAGACUAAUAAUUAUAUGAAUGACAAAUAUAUGACCAAAGAAAUUGAAUUUUUUUAAUGAUAAAGUGAAAUAUCAAUUGUUUAGUGUCACUUCUUCAUAAGAGGCACAUUGGUAAGGAAAAAUUUGCGUUAGAACCUUGAUGACAACACUGAAGUGAGGCAAAGCGCUCAAUACGUUUUGAGCCUCGCUUUAGGGCUUAAGCGCGCCUUUGAUAACACUGGUACCAUGUUGUUUUGUACCAAUUUACAUACCAUGAGCUACGUUGUUUCAUGAAAACAAGUGAAAAGAAUGUAAGAUAAGGAAGGUAGCUAAAAGAAAAUUGAUAAUAAGAGAACCCAACGAGAAAGCCCGUGUUUAACUACAAAUGUGAUAUUUAUAAUUUUAGUGGAAGCAUUCUUUACUUCAGCUGUGACUUAACUCAAACUAUGAUGUUCAAAUAUGCGAUACUGAUACAGCUAAUGACAGAAUCCUGGCCUCAUGUCCAUUGACAGUUCUCAAUCAGUAGACAGUUUCAAUGGUUUUUUUAUUUCAGAUGCUGAAAAGAUUGAGAAUGAUAGAAAAGGACUGUAAAGAGACAAGCACCAGUAAUAAUGAAAGAAGGUACAAUCUUUAAGCACGAGGGCAGCACAAAUCAGAGUAAGCUGCAAAGGCGUCAUAUUUUAAGCAACCCCUCUGAGUAUCUAAUUAUCUCCCAUAUACAAUGGGAGCCAGCAAAAGUACCAAAUGAAGUUGUUAUUUUUAAAAAGGAAGCUACCAAAGAAUAUUAAAGUAAGCAAAUGCAGAUCAACUGGUAUGAAAUACGGAGCAUCUGAAGUCUAAGUUGAAGAUAAGCGGUACACAUUUACAAUCAAAUAACUCAAAAGGAGAAAUUGCCUCAACAAAACAGGUUUUAUUUCCAGAAAGAUCCCUUAAGGCUCAAAGAGGACAACUAGGGAUACUUAAUGCAAAUUGUAGGCAUGGAAAACCUAUUAUCCUAUCCUAAACCAAGCAUUUCUACAAACAAUUAAAACAAGUCCUAGACAAAGUUUGCAAAGAAAUUUUCAUUAAGUUUCAUCAGACAUGGCACAUGUUAGUUUAGAUGGGUCCCUUCCAACUCACAAUCAAGAAUAAAUGAAACAAAAUCGCAUAAAUCAAACCACUACCAAGUAGUGAGCAAAGAGUAAACAAAUGACCAAGUGUCACUAAUAAGACCAUUUCUCUCAACGUUACCCACUUUUCCAGUAAAAAAUCAAGGGAGGUAGUUCACAAAUUUGACAAAGACUCACAUGAAAGAGUCUAAUUAGUGGUACCAGAAAAACAAGUUAGCCAAAGAGAGCAAUCCAACAAAACCAUAUUUUUAUUCCCUAUUAGCUACUAACUACCCCUAAACACACCCAGUUCAAAAAAUCACUUUUUUGGAAAAGAACUGUGGCUUAAAGAAAAAAACAAGGAGCUUAUUGAAAUCAAAUGACAAGGUAAACCUAGGAAAGUAUAAAACAAGUAACAUAAUGCAUGCAGCAAGCACUCAUACAAAGGAAAAAAGUCAAAACCUUAUAAACUAAAGAGAAAACACACAGUAUUCCAAAAUAUUAUCUCAUUAAUCACUUGGAGAACUAUUGAUAAUUUAACAUGUCAGACUAUGAAUCACAGGAAAAAUAAGAGACUAUCCAUUUUAAAGGUUCACAAUUCAGCCAUGGGAUGAAUAUCAAAGUUACAGUGAGGGAACAGGCUUCACAUGUAGAUUUUGAUACCACAUGAAAGAAUCUAAACUUUUAAUUGAAAUGGUAAAAUCAAGGAAAAAACCAAGUACUUUUUAGUACAUUAAUUUUACUAAGGUUGCAUUUUUAUUUCCUAGAAGUUGCACAUAUAUGCGCUCACAGGCUAAUUGUAACAGCCUGAUUAACCGUUGCCAUGAGGCAGGUGCAAACUCGGCCCAUUGGCCUCCUUACAGACAAUUCUCCACCCUGCCCACCACCAACUGUAAAGAUAAACAUUUGACCUUGCUUUGAAGCUAAUUAAGAGAAUCCAAGGACACAAUUCAAAAUGCUAAAGGCAAUAAGUGAAGUAGUUUAAGAUGUUAAUAACCUUUUCGGAUGCUCUUAUGUGAAUGCCAUAUAUCUCCGGCACAAACUAUGCUUUCUUUCAUCUAACAAGUGGUUAGGAAAAUAUGAGAUUUUGAUUUAAUCAAAACUUAGAAGUCCCCAUCAGAAACUGAAUUCUACAUUAGCUAGUGAAACUCUUAGUAAUUGCAACACUACAAAACCCCUGACUAGGAUAUAUAUUUCAAUGUGUCUACUUGAAUGCAAAACCUAACUAGUAAAUAUGUGAUGUAAGCAAGCGCAGAUAACUACUUUUUCAAUCUAAAAGUUGACAUAAUAAGUAGAAUACCUUGCAGAACCCCGACCUCUGAUGAAAAAAAAAAACAUUUAAUUGUAAACUUUGCAAAGAGUAUGACCACAAAGAAAUGAACAGAAAUAUUAGGAAAAAUAUCAAUAUAUGCUACUCACUCCAUCCCAAUUUUUAAUUUUUUUAGUUACUGUGGUGUCCGGGCUAGUUUUUGCGCACCUCGACUAAUUCCACGCAAACUCCCACCAGCAAUAGGAACCAUGUUACUUUGUCCACCCCAUCCCAAUUUUACUCUUCAUGUUUUGGGAACAUUUAAUACAAUUCCACCAAUAAUAUCAUUCUAUACAACUUUCACAACUUUAAGAAGUUUGAUUUCACGAAUCUAUCAAAUUCGAUCUUUUAAAUGGUUUUCAAUCAAAUUGAUUUUUUCAAGUAGUACUUAGAUAUACUUUUUCCACGAGGAGGCAAGUCAAUUUGACACCUUUUUUUUUAUGACAAGUGAAAUCCGCAAUCGCUACCCUUUGGUUGUACAUGAACAAAAACCCCUAUUCCUAUGCAAUAUCUCGCAAAAGAGACGUAACCCACACUAGGCAAGCCUGGUGCGACGAGCUCGACCCAGAAGGCAAACCCUUGCUUUUGCUGGCAAGAGAUUUCGGACUUGAGGCCUACAACAUGAAAGUCUCAAGCCCAAACCCACUAGGUCACUCUGAAGGGUCAAAUUGACACCUUAAACUCCAUAUCCUACAAAAUGAACAGGAGGAAUUACUAGAAUACUACUUUUACCCCCGAAGAAUAAGAGUAGUAAGUAAAAUACAUAUACAGCAAAGUAACACUCAAACACGAACAAUUAGGUCACACUUCGAAACAAAUUAACAAACAAUUUGGCUGUAAUAGAGUAUGAAUUCGAAAAACUUAUUGAAAUAUUAAGGAAGAUGAACAAACCUGAAGUGAAUAAUCACAGCCCUAUUGGGACCUCGGAGUCGGAGAAUGUGCUUAGCAAUAAGC
rnacentral:lncRNA from 1 species